rnacentral:tRNA from 1 species
GUGAGUGUAGCUCAGUUGGCAGAGCUCAGGAUUGUGAUUCCUGCGGUCGCGGGUUCGACCCCCGUCGCUCACC